ensembl:ncRNA K02G10.11 ncRNA
ACGAAAUGGAGAAGGAGGCGCUGUAUGAGGUGAGAAACUGUUGAGGCUUCUCUCUUCUUUCACAAUAAUGUUCUACUUCACUGUUGCGCCUAGUUUUCUCGAACGUUGCAAGCUGAUG